UACGUAGGUCCGAGCGUUGUCCGGAGUUACUGGGCGUAAAGGGCGUGUAGGCGGUUUGUCGCGUCGACUGUGAAAACCCGCGGCUCAACUGCGGGCCUGCAGCCGAUACGGGCAGGCUAGAGUUCGGUAGGGGAGACUGGAAUUCCUGGUGUAGCGGUGAAAUACGUAGAUAUCUGGAGGAACACCGGUGGCGAAGGCGGCGAUCUGGCCCAACAUUGACACUCAGACCCGAAAGUGCGGGGAUCAAACAGG
rnacentral:rRNA from 1 species